rnacentral:rRNA from 1 species
CUAGUAAUCGCGGAUCAGAAUGCCGCGGUGAAUGCGUUCCCGGGUCUUGUACACACCGCCCGUCACACCAUGGAAGUUGGGGGCGCCCGAAGUUGCCUAAGAAAUAAGGUACCUAAGGCGAAACCAAUGACUGGGGUGAAGUCGUAACAAGGUAAC